CCCUUAGAUGUUCUGGGCCGCACGCGCGCUACACUGAUGAAUGCAACGAGCUCUACCCUUGACCGAAAGGCCCGGGUAAACUUGUGAAAAUUCAUCGUGAUGGGGAUAGAUUAUUGCAAUUAUUAAUCUUCAACGAGGAAUUCCUAGUAAGCGCGAGUCAUCAGCUCGCGUUGAUUACGUCCCUGCCCUUUGUACACACCGCCCGUCGCUCCUACCGAUUGAAUGGUCCGGUGAAAUCUUCGGAUUGCUGAUCAAGCUCAUUGGGCUUGGUUGCGAGAAGUUGAUUAAACCUUAUUAUUUAGAGGAAGGAGAAGUCGUAACA
rnacentral:rRNA from 1 species